UACGGAGGGUGCAAGCGUUAUCCGGAUUCACUGGGGUUAAAGGGUGCGUAGGUGGGUUGGUAAGUCAGUGGUGAAAUACUUUCGCUUAACGAAGGAACUGCCAUUGAUACUAUUUGUCUUGAAUAUCGUUGAGGUAGGCGGAAUAUGUCAUGUAGCGGUGAAAUGCAUAGAGAUGACAUAGAACACCAAUUGCGAAGGCAGCUUGCUAAACGAUGAUUGACGCUGAGGCACGAAAGCGUGGGGAUCAAACAGG
rnacentral:rRNA from 1 species